rnacentral:rRNA from 1 species
UGGCUCAGGAUGAACGCUAGCGACAGGCCUAACACAUGCAAGUCGAGGGGCAUCGGGGCGAGGAGCAAUCCUUGCCGCCGGCGACCGGCGCACGGGUGAGUAACGCGUAUGCGACCUGCCCGUUGCAGGGGGAUAAUCGGGAGAAAUCCCGUCUAAUACCGCGUAAUGCCGCGGGGCUGCAUGGCCCUGCGGCCAAAGGAAGCGAUUCCGGCAACGGAUGGGCAUGCGUGACAUUAGCUAGUUGGCGGGGCAACGGCCCACCAAGGCGACGAUGUCUAGGGGUUCUGAGAGGAAGGUCCCCCACACUGGUACUGAAACACGGACCAGACUCCUACGGGAGGCAGCAGUGAGGAAUAUUGGUCAAUGGGCGCGAGCCUGAACCAGCCAAGUCGCGUGAGGGAUGACGGCCCUACGGGUUGUAAACCUCUUUUGUCGGGGAGCAAAUUCCGCCACGUGUGGCGGAGUCGAGAGUACCCGAAGAAAAAGCAUCGGCUAACUCCGUGCCAGCAGCCGCGGUAAUACGGAGGAUGCGAGCGUUAUCCGGAUUUAUUGGGUUUAAAGGGUGCGUAGGCGGACUGUCAAGUCAGCGGUAAAAUACGGGGGCUCAACCUCCGCCCGCCGUUGAAACUGACGGUCUUGAGUGGGCGAGAAGUAUGCGGAAUGCGUGGUGUAGCGGUGAAAUGCAUAGAUAUCACGCAGAACUCCGAUUGCGAAGGCAGCAUACCGGCGCCCAACUGACGCUGAAGCACGAAAGCGUGGGUAUCGAACAGGAUUAGAUACCCUGGUAGUCCACGCAGUAAACGAUGAAUACUAGCUGUCCGGGGCGAAUGAGCCCUGGGUGGCACAGCGAAAGCGUUAAGUAUUCCACCUGGGGAGUACGCCGGCAACGGUGAAACUCAAAGGAAUUGACGGGGGCCCGCACAAGCGGAGGAACAUGUGGUUUAAUUCGAUGAUACGCGAGGAACCUUACCCGGGCUCAAACGACACAGGAACGUACCUGAAAGGGUUCGGCUCUACGGAGCCUGUGUCGAGGUGCUGCAUGGUUGUCGUCAGCUCGUGCCGUGAGGUGUCGGCUUAAGUGCCAUAACGAGCGCAACCCCCAUCGACAGUUGCUAACAGGUCAGGCUGAGGACUCUGUCGAGACUGCCGGCGCAAGCUGCGAGGAAGGCGGGGAUGACGUCAAAUCAGCACGGCCCUUACGUCCGGGGCGACACACGUGUUACAAUGGCAGGUACAGCGGGAAGCCACCUGGCGACAGGGAGCGGAACCCGAAAGCCUGUCUCAGUUCGGAUUGGAGUCUGCAACCCGACACCAUGAAGCUGGAUUCGCUAGUAAUCGCGCAUCAGCCACGGCGCGGUGAAUACGUUCCCGGGCCUUGUACACACCGCCCGUCAAGCCAUGGAAGCCGGGGGUGCCUGAAGUGCGCUGCCGCGAGGAGCGCCCUAGGGUAAAACUCGGUGACUGGGGCUAAGUCGUAACAAGGU